rnacentral:rRNA from 1 species
UACGUAGGGACCAAGCGUUGUUCGGAUUUACUGGGCUUAAAGGGCGCGUAGGCGGGCAAGCAAGUCCGGGGUGAAAGCCCCCAGCUCAACUGGGGAAGUGCCUUGGAAACUGCUGGUCUCGAGGGAGGUAGGGGCCUGUGGAACUUCGGGUGGAGCGGUGAAAUGCGUUGAUAUCCGAAGGAACGCCGGCGGCGAAAGCGACGGGCUGGACCUCUUCUGACGCUGAGGCGCGAAAGCCAGGGGAGCAAACGGG